AUGGAAAAACAUAGUAGGAGAUGUGUCCACCUCCAUGCCUUCUUCCUCCUCGUGCUCGUGCACACCAGCCCUGCAGCCACGGUGACGCCCGUCCCUUUCCGGUGCCCAGCCGACCAGGCCUCCGCGCUUCUCCGGCUGAAACACUCCUUCCAGCAGCCGCUCCUGCCAUCCUGGCGCGCGCGCACGGACUGCUGCCGAUGGAAGGGCGUCCGGUGUGACUCCGCCUCGGGCCGGGUCGCCGCGCUCGACCUCAGCGACCAAGGCCUUCAUAGCCGGGACGGCCUCCCCCGCGCGCUCUUCCAGCUUACCACGCUCAGGCGCCUCGGCCUCGCCGGCAACGACUUCGGCGGCGCCAGCCUCCCGGCGUCCGGGUUCGAGCAGCUCGCCGAGCUCACUCACAUCAACCUCUCGAACGCUGGCUUCGCCGGCCAGAUACCCGUCGGCAUCGGCAACCUAAGGAAACUCGUAUCACUAGAUCUCUCCUACAACAACGGCUUGUCCGGGACGAUCCCCGAGUUCUUUGCCGAGCUGCGCUCGCUGGCCGUCCUUCUCCUCUCCAACAACGACUUCAACGGAUCGUUCCCUCGGGGGAUCUUCCAGCUCAAGACCCUGAGGGUGCUCGACCUGUCGGGUAAUUCUGAGCUGUCCGGCGACUUGCCGGAGCUCCCUGCCGGGAGCCUCCUGGAGGUUCUGGACCUGAGCGGGGCUAGCUUUUUUGGUGUAAUACCCAGCUCCAUCAGCAACCUGAAGCGUCUCAAGACUCUGGACAUGAGCAGCAGCCACGGCCGUUUUUCUGGCGCCCUCCCUGCUUCGAUCAGUGAGCUUAAAUCCCUGAGCUUCUUGGAUCUGAGCAACAGCGGGUUCCGAAUCAGCCAGCUGCCUGCUACGCUGGGCAGACUGCAGUCCUUGUCCACGCUGCGGCUCAGGGACUGCGGCGUCUCAGGUGCAAUACCGUCGCCCAUUCAGAACCUCACACGCUUGACCGAGUUGGACCUCUCACAGAACAAUCUCACCGGAGCAAUGCCCACGUGGAGCAAAGGAGCAUUUAGGAACCUAAAGACGCUGCAGCUAUGCUGCAACUCCCUAUCAGGGCCAAUCCCAGCCUUCCUCUUCUCGCUCCCUCAACUCGAGUUCAUAUCGCUUAUGAAGAACCAUUUUGACGGCCACCUCCAAGAAUUCUCUGAUCCUUCUCCCUCCCUAGCAUCCGUUUACCUCGGCUACAACCAGUUAAACGGAUCAGUGCCCAAGUCUUUCUUUAGCCUCAUGAGCUUGCAAACCCUGGAUCUAUCUAGAAACGGUUUGAGCGGGACAGUGCGGCUUAGCUCAUUUUGGAGGCUCACCAAUCUAAGUAACCUCCUCCUGUCAGCUAACACUCUGACAGUUGUGGUGGACGACGAAGAACAUAUUAGUUCAUCCUCGUCUGCAUCGCUCCCUCCACUCAACUCUCUGGGUUUAGCCUGCUGCAACAUGACCAAGAUCCCUUCCAUACUCAAGCACGUCCUGGUCGGCGACCUCGACCUCUCAUGCAACCACAUUGGUGGCUCUGUGCCCAAAUGGAUAUGGGCAGGCCAGAAGGAGAAUGUAGAUGUGUUUAAGUUGAAUCUUUCGCGCAAUCACUUCACCAGCAUGGAGCUGUCUCUGGCCAAUGCCAGCGUAUACUUUCUUGACCUUAGUUUCAACAGCUUUGGAGGGCCUAUUCCCGUGCCCAUGGCUCCACAGUUCCUUGAUUACUCCAACAAUCUCUUCUCAUCCAUCCCACGGGAUCUGAUGCCGCGACUAACUAGUCCUUUCUAUCUGAGCAUGGCCAACAACACACUGCGCGGAGGCAUCCCGCAUAUCAUCUGUGAUGCAAGCAACCUCAAGCUGCUUGACCUGUCUUACAAUUAUUUCAGUGGCCAUGUUCCAUCUUGCCUUGUAGAUGGGCGCCUCACCAUCCUGAAGCUGGGACAUAACCAGUUUGAGGGGACAUUCCCUGAUGGCAUCCAGGGCGUGAGGUGUGCUUCCCAGACGAUAGAUUUGAACGGGAAUAACAUGCAGGGGCAGCUGCCUAGAUCAUUGUCCAAGUGUCAUGAUCUGGAGGUCUUUGAUGUUGGCGGCAACAAUUUCGUCGACUCUUUUCCGACCUGGCUGGGGGAUUUGACAAAACUUAGAGUUCUUGUGUUGAGAUCCAACAGAUUAUUUGGUCCUGUCGGGGCGGCUCCUGCCAACAGGACGCACUUCCAGAGCUUGCAGAUUAUCGAUCUUGCCUCCAACAACUUCUCUGGUAGUUUGUGUCCACAAUGGUUCGAGGGUCUGAAAGCAAUGAUGGUUAUUGGAGAGAAGCACGAGGGCCGACAAGCCUUGGAGGAAAACCUCACAGGUAAGUUGUACCGAGACACGGUAGUGGUCACGUACAAGGGAACAACCAUGACACUCACCAAGAUCUUGACGGCCUUCACGGUUAUCGACUUCUCCGCCAACGCCUUCACCGGAAGCAUCCCGGAAUCGGUCGGGGAGCUCGCUUCGCUACGCGGGCUCAACAUGUCGCACAAUGCCUUGACGGGGACAAUUCCUCCUCAGCUCAGCCACCUGACACAGCUUGAGUCGCUAGACCUCUCAUCAAACCAUCUCUACGGGGCGAUCGCGGAGGCAUUGACAUAUCUAACCUCCCUUGCGUCGCUGAAUGUCUCCAACAAUCAGAUCGAGGGGGCCAUACCACAGGGAGGGCAGUUCCUGACAUUUACCGUCGAUUCUUUCCAAGGGAAUGCAAGGUUAUGUGGUAAACCACUGCCCAAACAAUGCAAUUCAGAGGUCCCUUCGUCUGACUCUGAGCACGACAAAAAAUCAGACGAUAGGGUCGACACAAUUGUACUGUAUCUUGUUGCUGGGUCAGGGUACGGUCUGGGAUUUGCAGUAGCGGUUCUGUUUCAGGUGCUAGGCAAAAGGUGGAGGCGGAAACCAAAAGUGAUCAACUGA
rnacentral:rRNA from 1 species